rnacentral:rRNA from 1 species
GAAUUCACUAGUGAUUCAGGCCUAACACAUGCAAGUCGAGCGGUAGAGAGAAGCUUGCUUCUCUUGAGAGCGGCGGACGGGUGAGUAAUGCCUAGGAAUCUGCCUGGUAGUGGGGGAUAACGUUCGGAAACGGACGCUAAUACCGCAUACGUCCUACGGGAGAAAGCAGGGGACCUUCGGGCCUUGCGCUAUCAGAUGAGCCUAGGUCGGAUUAGCUAGUUGGUGAGGUAAUGGCUCACCAAGGCUACGAUCCGUAACUGGUCUGAGAGGAUGAUCAGUCACACUGGAACUGAGACACGGUCCAGACUCCUACGGGAGGCAGCAGUGGGGAAUAUUGGACAAUGGGCGAAAGCCUGAUCCAGCCAUGCCGCGUGUGUGAAGAAGGUCUUCGGAUUGAAAGCACAAUGAGUUGGGAGGAAGGGCAUAACCUAAUACGUUAGGUUUGA